AGAAAGGCGGUGGAUUUUGUGAAUCUGUGUAAAUAAAAGUCAGUGCUGGAGAUCAGAUUCUGUUUCAUCAUGGAUGACACACAAACAUCCACAGAUGAAGAUUGUUCUCCAGGAUGCAGUUCAGUUCAUCAGAAGAGAUCAGAAGCAGAGUCCAGCUGUGUGUCUAU